UCUGUAACUCUAUACACCUAUUUUAUUCACUAUUUCGCAACCUCCAUGAGACCAUCUCAACAAUAGAUACAAGCAGAUUUCUCGGUUACUCCAAAUCACAACAAACGUCACUCUGUUUCCUUAUACAGAAGGCACAUAUUAAAUCAUUGGCAGGGACGAAAUUGAGAAUGUCUUGAGCCUUCAUAUUGUGAAAAUCUUAAUAACCUGUUUUACUUUUGCUUUCCAUCGUUCUCUUCAAAAUUCCAGCAAGAAGACUUCAUAUUCCUCAAGUUGACAACAACCCACUAUUAAACGUUACUCAUCUUCAGAGCAAUCACUUAGGUCCAAAAUUCCUCCUCUUCAAUUCGUUAACGAUGCUACUGACAACUUGUGUUUUUAAAUCUACAUUCGUCAUUUGCAUGCUUAAAUUAUUGUUUAAGGGUGCGUGCAGCCAGGUACGGGCCAAAAUACAUCAUUAGAUGGUUGGAGUACUUUGUAAUGACUACAAAAUCAAUGCCCAAAAUUAGACCUCGAAUUUCUCCUCUUUGGGCAGCCAAGACCACCGGGGUUUGAUCCCAGAAUGAUGGACGGCUCUCAAUCAGAAUCCAAGAGGCUAAAUUGUGAGCAUGCUUAAUUUGCACCGUAUAUCUUUCAGAACAUUCUUAACUCCAAACCCCGUAAAUAAUCACAUCAAUCAAAACCAUGCUGAAGUCAGAUCUGGCCCGCUUUCAGAAGGUGGUUAAUCUAUUAUGCCCCAUGAAUAAUUAUGUUUGUCCUCGGUUAGCGAGAGAGUAGACAAGAGAGGCCGCUAUUCGAGUCGACCGAAAUUGACUGCAAGACCCCCGGAGAUUUAGUCGCAAUAAUACUGAACUGGCCUGAACCGGAGUUUCACCGGGGUUGGUCACGUAUGCCCGUGCAUACAUGAUUCAUAAUAAACUGCAGAGAGGGAUUCAUUUCACAAAGGUUAAACAUGUUCACGAUAACUGGUUUUCUGUUGUGAGGUUGAGUCAAGAAUACACUCAAAAGCCAAGGAUCUAUUCUUUUAUUGAAUGAAUUUAGCAGGUAUGGAUAUUUGUAUUGUGUCUAUGUUAGCUGCUUCUUGCAUUGCUUUUUGAGCUUCCUCAUGGGCUUUGAGCAGGCGUUGCUCUUUUAUGAUCGGUUGAGCGGAUUGAGGAUGGGUACUAGCAUGGUUUAUACAGUCAAGCAGAAAGUAGGUGCAAGCCAUAUUUCCUACACUGAAUCAUGUUGAACCCAAAUGAAAUUUUCGUAUCGUGUUCAAAUUCAAGCUAAAAUUUGUCUUUCCGUCAAGUCACGAUCCACGUUUUCAAAGCUUGGUCACGGUUCUCUUCUUUGUUUCUAAUUGCAAAAUCUGCCCAGGGAUUGAAAAGGCUUUAGAAUUUUUUGUCACAAGGUUGGGAUACAAGUGAACACCAGCCAAAACCAAAGUCAUAAAAGAAGAGCGCUCUUCCUUGUCUCCAUGCGAAACUUUCUUGGCACAGGACCUUUGUUUGAGCAAAUAUUUCCUUGGCAUGGGGUUCUUCUCUGGUUGGCGUGAGCUCUCUGAGGUCGUGGGUCUCUACUAAGUCAUUCCGCCCCUGCUGUGGGUGAUUGUUGAGGUUGAGCUGGGCUUGCAAAAGGUUUUGAUGCAGGUUUCGGUAGGGACGUGGGAAGAACUGAACUACACCUGGCUGACCAUUCAUUUAUAGUUGAUGCUCAUUAAUAUAUUUCAAAACAUUGUUCAAAUUUGAGUCUUAAUGCAGUAUUGAAGGCUGCGUGGGUUGCUGCAAGUUAGUGUGGGAGAAUCGACUCAUUUCAUUGAUUAAGUGGUUGCUGGAAACUGUUCUUAGUUGAGCGCAUGGGUCCAAGUUGGACAUGGGCAUUCAACAGGAGGCAGAACUAUUAAUGAGCGCUACAAUAUGUAUGUUCUGGUACAACAAUUCUAAGUCAAGCUGAUUAUAUGCAAUUUUCUAUAUACCCUGGUAAUUUGGCAUCAGCUGCAAAUGAAGGCUUGGAUGUGAUCUUAUUCUCCAGAGCAUUCACAAGUAUCUGAAAUUAGCUAUAUGUCUGUGCUGAUUACUGAUGAAGUUUCAGAUCUGAGAAGAAGUUUAUAUCUUCUUUUGUCCUAUGCGUGGAGAUCCCUUGCUGGUCAUUCUGUAUUUGCAGGUUAUUCUUCCAGAACUGAGGUCGGGCCUGGGUGUGUAUGUUAAGGGUUAGACAUUGCCAAACAUUUCAGGAUUGAGACAACCUUGGCAGGGCGUAUACUCCUAUUUUCUUACAGUGGAAGAUCAACUUGGCUACAUCUUGAUCGUAAAGUCCCUGACUGUCCAAGACAAUGUAUGCUGGAAUAUAUAUUUGCUGAAGACUCAUUGCUGAGUUCUGUGUGUGAAGUCAAAACUAUAUUAUUCAGGAUAUCUGCAGCUGCUCAUAAACUUUCAAUUUACAGUAUUUUAUAUUACUUCAUCGUGAAAUGAUUGCUCUCCAAUAAGUGUCUCACACUUAUGCAAUAUCAAAUUAAGGGUAGCCUGCUGCCAGAUGGAAAUGUCAGGUCAAUUCUGGAUCCAACAAAAACCGGUGGCAAACAGGCAGAGAUGGCAGGGCAGAUGAGUAGUGGUGGGACUGUCAGUAAGCCACUGUACAGGAAUGUGCGAGGGUGAUGCCUGCAAUGGCUAUGCAAUUAUAUAUAAUGAUUAUAGUUUAUACAGAUAUUUGCUAAACUCUUUCUCUUUGAGUUCAUUGUUGUGUGUGACUGACUGAGUUUACAUAAUGAAUGAGAAACUGGAUGGACCAUUGAUGAGAAAAACACCUCAGGAAUCUUAAUAGCAACAUUUUCAUCUUAUGCAUCCCAACAUCCAUUGGAAAGAAAUCGUAUUUGACUUUAAUGUUGAAUAAAAUAUAUUUGAGUUGACAAGAUCAAAACAUAACACACACAAGUCUUUUUGUAAAAUACAUUAAAAUUUACUUAGAUUACAUUCCAAUCAUUAACUUUUUGAAAUCCAUUAUUCCCCACCAAUCUAAAUACAAGACUGAGAAUAAGCUUCUACAAUUAUCAAUACAGAUGUAAUGUCCCCUUCUCCUUAGCAUAUGGACAUUCACGAGGUUGGCCUAUAUUUGACCCUCGUAGGCCAAGGAGUUGUUUAGGGGGUCGACAUGGCGGUGAUUGGUGACUUCACAUCUCUUUAUGAUUUGAUAUUUUGAUGUUAUAAGGAGAUAACACAUAUCAGGAGACGUGUGAGUUUUAUUUAAUUAAUAAAUUAAAGGUACAUUAAAAUAACAUGUUUAAUUAAAUAAUAUAAAGUGUACCUACCCUUAUCUUCUACAAGGUGAUUGUGAUGAGUUAUGUAAUGAAUAAAUAGAAGGGGAACACAUGUUGGAUCAUCAGUUGUUCAUGUUAUCUCUUGUUGAGUUGUGAAGACACAAGUUGUCCGCAAAAGAUCUUGGGGAACAAUACCUCCCUUUGGUCAGCAUAACUGAGGAGGUGGAAGAUCCUCUGAAGGGUUGCGAAGAGAGUGGGGAGCAUUCAGCUUUCCACAGUGAGCAUAAGGAGUUUUAUAUCAGAUUAUGGUAGUACUUCAGACUUGCAGAUUUGAGGGUUCACUUUGUGUGAUGGUGUAGGCUUCCCUUGGGCCUAACUAGACAGUGAUAUUCCUUUGGCAUCUAGGCGAUAUCCAUUGAUGAUUUGUGGGGUUACAUCGAAGCAUAUAUAGUGCUGUCAUCCUAUUAGUUGCAGAACCUGGAUUCCCACGAUUUUGUUCAUGCCACCUUCAACAUGCAUCGAUUUUGACUAGUAUUGAUUCCUAAAUUCAUAGGAAGGAGAGGCGAUACCAUUGGGAUA